rnacentral:tRNA from 1 species
GCCUGGGUGGCUCAGUGGGUUAAGCGUCUGACUUCAACUCAGGUCAUGAUCUCAUAGUGGGUUUGAGCCCUGUGUCAGGCU